AUUGAACGCUGGCGGCAUGCUUUACACAUGCAAGUCGAGCGGAGAUGAGGUGCUUGCACCUUAUCUUAGCGGCGGACGGGUGAGUAAUGCUUAGGAAUCUGCCUAUUAGUGGGGGACAACAUUCCGAAAGGAAUGCUAAUACCGCAUACGCCCUACGGGGGAAAGCAGGGGAUCUUCGGACCUUGCGCUAAUAGAUGAGCCUAAGUCGGAUUAGCUAGUUGGUGGGGUAAAGGCCUACCAAGGCGACGAUCUGUAGCGGGUCUGAGAGGAUGAUCCGCCACACUGGGACUGAGACACGGCCCAGACUCCUACGGGAGGCAGCAGUGGGGAAUAUUGGACAAUGGGCGGAAGCCUGAUCCAGCCAUGCCGCGUGUGUGAAGAAGGCCUUUUGGUUGUAAAGCACUUUAAGCGAGGAGGAGGCUACCUGGAUUAAUACUCUAGGAUAGUGGACGUUACUCGCAGAAUAAGCACCGGCUAACUCUGUGCCAGCCGCCGCAGUAACAC
rnacentral:rRNA from 1 species